rnacentral:rRNA from 1 species
CGAACGCUGGCGGCGUGCUUAACACAUGCAAGUCGAACGGAAAGGCCCUGCUUGCAGGGUGCUCGAGUGGCGAACGGGUGAGUAACGCGUGGGUGAUCUGCCCCUUACUUUGGGAUAAGCCUGGGAAACUGGGUCUAAUACUGGAUAGGACCAUGCUGUAGGUGGUGUGGUGGAAAGAUUAGUUUCGGUAAGGGAUGAGCUCGCGGCCUAUCAGCUUGUUGGUGGGGUAAUGGCCUACCAAGGCGUCGACGGGUAGCCGGCCUGAGAGGGUGGACGGCCACAUUGGGACUGAGAUGCGGCCCAGACUCCUACGGGAGGCAGCAGUGGGGAAUAUUGCACAAUAGGCGCAAGCCUGAUGCAGCGACGCCGCGUGGGGGAUGACGGCCUUCGGGUUGUAAACUCCUUUCAGCCAUGACGAAGCCCUUGUGGUGACGGUAGUGGUAGAAGAAGCACCGGCUAACUACGUG